CGGUUCGAGUCGUCGAGUAGAGUUUCGAUCCUGGCUACAGACGACGCUGGCGGCGUGCUUAACACAUGCGAAUCGGGGGGCGAGUCUUCGGGUGUCACCGGCGAACGGUGCGGAACACGUGAGCGACCUGCCCUGUGUGUGGGGGACUAGCCGGCCCAACGGCCGGGUAAUACCGCAUACGUCCGGCGCUUGGAGGCGCUGGGAGAAAGCCCCGCUUGCGGGGCGCACGAGGAGGGGCUCGCGGCCUAUCAGCUAGUUGGUGUGGUAACGGCGCACCAAGGCGACGACGGGUAGCUGGUCUGAGAGGAUGGCCAGCCACAUUGGGACUGAGAGACGGCCCAGACUCCUACGGGAGGCAGCAGUGGGGAAUCUUGCGCAAUGGGCGAAAGCCUGACGCAGCGACGCCGCGUGGAGGAUGAGGCCCUUCGGGGUGUAAACUCCUGUUGCUUGGGACGAACGGCGGGCAUCGGCCCGCUUGACGGUACCGAGUGAGGAAGCACCGGCUAACUCUGUG
rnacentral:rRNA from 1 species